rnacentral:lncRNA from 1 species
GCGGCCAGGCUGCGGGCGGGGUGGGCGGGUGCUCCUGAUCCACCUGGAACACUUUUGCAAAGACAGACGGGUUCCUCCUACUUCAGAGCAAGUCUGGGCCAGCUGGGAUCCGACCAGAAACCGCAAGCGGAGGAGACGCAGGAGCGCAGGCUGAGCGCUAACUGAAGGCGCGACCUGAGCCUGGCGCCUGCUGGGGAGCUGCGCAGCCAGGACAGCGGUCGGCAGCACAGGGCCUGGGCGCAGGGCCCGCCGUCACCACCUCACGUCGGGAGCCAGCACUGCUGCCCGCCAGCCCUGCCGCCUGCCCUCGGACUUCCCAGGGCGCCCAGGGUCCUCCCAACGCGCCUGCACCCACACCCGCCCCUGAGCCACAGUGACCUUGCAUUCCCCGCCCCCUGCCACACCUCCUGCGUGCCCGAGUGUCACCCUUAAAUACCGCUCUACACCCAGAGAGGGACGAAUACACCUCUGAAGACAGGGCAAGACUAAUUUCAAUGGGUCAGAAGGUUCUUGCAGGCACUGUUUUAUUUAAGAGUGCCUAUUUACUGGCAGGAGUAUUUGUGUGGGAGGAAGUAGGCUAAGACUGCUGUUGAACUUGAAGCUAAACUUGAAUGCCA